GAUGAAGAACGCAGCGAAAUGCGAUAACUAAUGUGAAUUGCAGAAUUCCGUGAAUCAUCGAGUCUUUGAACGCACAUUGCGCCCCCUGGUAUUCCGGGGGGCAUGCCUGUCCGAGCGUCAUUGCUGCCCAUCAAGCACGGCUUGUGUGUUGGGUCCUCGUCCCCCCCGGGGGACGUGCCCGAAAGGCAGCGGCGGCACCGCGUCCGGUCCUCGAGCGUAUGGGGCUUUGUCACCCGCUCUGCAGGCCCGGCCGGCGCUGGCCGACGCGAAAGCAACCAUUUUUUCUCCAGGUUGACCUCGGAUCAGGUAGGGAUACCCGCUGAACUUAAGCAUAUCAAUAAGCGGAUGA
rnacentral:misc_RNA from 1 species